GUGGUUUGUCGCGUUGUUCGUGAAAUCUCACGGCUUAACUGUGAGCGUGCGGGCGAUACGGGCAGACUUGAGUACUGCAGGGGAGACUGGAAUUCCUGGUGUAGCGGUGGAAUGCGCAGAUAUCAGGAGGAACACCGGUGGCGAAGGCGGGUCUCUGGCAGUAACUGACGCUGAGGAGCGAAAGCGUGGGGAGCGAACAGGAUUAGAUACCCUGGUAGUCCACGCCGUAAACGGUGAGUACUAGGUGUGGGUUUCCUUCCUUGGGAUCCGUGCCGUAGCUAACGCAUUAAGUACCCCGCCUGGGGAGUACGGCCGCAAGGCUAAAACUCAAAGAAAUUGACGGGGGCCCGCACAAGCGGCGGAGCAUGUGGAUUAAUUCGAUGCAACGCGAAGAACCUUACCUGGGUUUGACAUGCACAGGACGCCGGCAGAGAUGUCGGUUCCCUUGUGGCCUGUGUGCAGGUGGUGCAUGGCUGUCGUCAGCUCGUGUCGUGAGAUGUUGGGUUAAGUCCCGCAACGAGCGCAACCCUUGUUUCAUGUUGCCAGCGGGUAAUGCCGGGGACUCGUGAGAGACUGCCGGGGUCAACUCGGAGGAAGGUGGGGAUGACGUCAAGUCAUCAUGCCCCUUAUGUCCAGGGCUUCACACAUGCUACAAUGGCCGGUACAAAGGGCUGCGAUGCCGCGAGGUUAAGCGAAUCCUUUUAAAGCCGGUCUCAGUUCGGAUCGGGGUCUGCAACUCGACCCCGUGAAGUCGGAGUCGCUAGUAAUCG
rnacentral:rRNA from 1 species